AGAGUUUGAUUCUGGCUCAGGAUGAACGCUAGCUACAGGCUUAACACAUGCAAGUCGAGGGGCAGCAUGGUCUUAGCUUGCUAAGAUUGAUGGCGACCGGCGCACGGGUGAGUAACGCGUAUCCAACCUUCCCUAUAGUAGGGGAUAGCCCGUAGAAAUGCGGAUUAAUACCCUAUGUUGUAUUUUGAGGACAUCUGACGAAUACCAAAGGUUCACCGCUAUAGGAUGGGGAUGCGUCUGAUUAGGUAGUCGGCGGGGUAACGGCCCACCGAGCCAACGAUCAGUAGGGGUUCUGAGAGGAAGGUCCCCCACAUUGGAACUGAGACACGGUCCAAACUCCUACGGGAGGCAGCAGUGAGGAAUAUUGGUCAAUGGGCGAGAGCCUGAACCAGCCAAGUAGCCGUGCAGGAUGACGGCCCUAUGGGUUGUAAACUGCUUUUAUGCGGGGAUAAAGUGGGGGACGUGUCCCUUAUUGUAGGUACCGCAUGAAUAAGGACCGGCUAAUUCCGUGCCAGCCGCCGC
rnacentral:rRNA from 1 species